AACGGGUGAGUAACGCGUAGGUAACCUGCCUGGUAGCGGGGGAUAACUAUUGGAAACGAUAGCUAAUACCGCAUAACAGUAGAUAUCGCAUGAUAGCUGCUUGAAAGGUGCAAUUGCACCACUACCAGAUGGACCUGCGUUGUAUUAGCUAGUUGGUGAGGUAACGGCUCACCAAGGCAACGAUACAUAGCCGACCUGAGAGGGUGAUCGGCCACACUGGGACUGAGACACGGCCCAAACUCCUACGGGAGGCAGCAGUAGGGAAUCUUCGGCAAUGGACGGAAGUCUGACCGAGCAUCGCCGCGUGAGUGAAGAAGGUUUUCGGAUCGUAAAGCUCUGUUGUAAGAGAAGAACGAGUGUGAGAGUGGAAAGUUCACACUGUGACGGUAUCUUACCAGAAAGGGACGGCUAACUACGUGCCAGCAGCCGCGGUAAUACGUAGGUCCCGAGCGUUGUCCGGAUUUAUUGGGCGUAAAGCGAGCGCAGGCGGUUAGAUAAGUCUGAAGUUAAAGGCUGUGGCUUAACCAUAGUACGCUUUGGAAACUGUUUAACUUGAGUGCAAGAGGGGAGAGUGGAAUUCCAUGUGUAGCGGUGAAAUGCNUAAAUAUAUGGAGGAACACCGGUGGCGAAAGCGGCUCUCUGGCUUGUAACUGACGCUGAGGCU
rnacentral:rRNA from 1 species